rnacentral:rRNA from 1 species
CCUACGGGAGGCAGCAGUGGGGAAUAUUGGACAAUGGGCGAAAGCCUGAUCCAGCCAUGCCGCGUGUGUGAAGAAGGCCUUCGGGUUGUAAAGCACUUUCAGUGGGGAAGAAAGCCUUGGGGCUAAUACCCUCGAGGAAGGACAUCACCCACAGAAGAAGCACCGGCUAACUCCGUGCCAGCAGCCGCGGUAAUACGGAGGGUGCGAGCGUUAAUCGGAAUUACUGGGCGUAAAGCGCGCGUAGGCGGUCUGAUAAGCCGGUUGUGAAAGCCCCGGGCUCAACCUGGGAACGGCAUCCGGAACUGUCAGGCUAGAGUGCAGGAGAGGAAGGUAGAAUUCCCGGUGUAGCGGUGAAAUGCGUAGAGAUCGGGAGGAAUACCAGUGGCGAAGGCGGCCUUCUGGACUGACACUGACGCUGAGGUGCGAAAGCGUGGGUAGCAAACAGGAUUAGCUACCCGGUAGUC